UGUCACGCAAGGGGACACAGUCACUGCUCCCAGUGACUAGGAUGUGGACGUCAUUGGGAGACCAUUACACUGACCACAGUUGGUAAGAGAGGGUUCCCACGGGCCAGGCGUGGGCAGCACAGCCAGCUUGGAGGGCAGAAGCAACCUGCACAGGACACUGCCCGGUCUGACUGCCUGACUGCAUCUGGAUUUUUGAGACAACUGGGAGCCUUCAAAAUCUUGAAACCCAGCAGGUGCAGG